AAAAUACUCCAUCCGUCCCAUAAUUCUUGUCUUAGAUUUGUCUCAUAUGAAUGUAUUUAGUCACGUUUUAGUAUUUUGAUACAUCCAUUUCUAGACAAAUCGAAGACAAGAAUUUUAAGACGGAGGGAGUAUUUA
rfam:Hordeum vulgare subsp. vulgare, WGS project CAJW01000000 data, contig: morex_contig_1568925